GGGGUUGUGGCUCAGUGGUAGAGCAUUCACUUAGCAUGUGUGAAGCCCUGUGUUCAAUCUACAGCAUCACAU
rnacentral:tRNA from 1 species